ensembl:lncRNA
CUUAUGUGGACAUAGUGGGAUGACCAUCUGCAAGGUAGAGUCUUUGCCACUGAGCUAACCAGGGAAGCCUCCACUGUGCAGCCCUCCAGUGACCACAUUGUGGAACCUCUACUAAGAAGAGAAAGAAUGAGUAGUUGACUAAACCUAUCUCUUUAAGGACACACAUCUCUUUAAGUCAAUGACUAUUCAGAAAUGAAAUCCAUUCAUUCUGACUUAUGCAAGCUACAUCUCAAAAAUUCAGAAUAAAUGUAUUACAGCAAUUAUAAGACCUGUAAUCAGUAAUUUACUCUAGAGUAAUCAUUCUAAAUCUUACACUGUGUAUGUCCUGAUAUGUCCUAAUGCUUCUAUCUGCAUCCAAACUACAUCAGAACCAAACAGUUCAUUCCUG